rnacentral:rRNA from 1 species
GAUGAACGCUAGCUGGAGGCUUAAUACAUGCAAGUCGAGCGGGAUUGGGUAGCAAUACCCAUGAGAGCGGCGCACGGGUGAGUAACGCGUACACGACCUACCUCUGACAGGGGGAUAGCCCUGGGAAACUGGGAUUAAUACCGCAUAUUAUUCUGAAUAAUAAAGGUUUGGAAUGAAAGCUGAGGCGGUCAGAGAUGGGUGUGCGUCUGAUUAGCUAGUUGGUAGGUAACGGCCUACCAAGGCGAUGAUCAGUAGGGGGCGUGAGAGCGUGGUCCCCCACACGGGUACUGAGACACGGACCCGACUCCUACGGGAGGCAGCAGUAAGGAAUAUUGGUCAAUGGGCGAAAGCCUGAACCAGCCAUCCAGCGUGCAGGAAGAAGGCCCUAUGGGUUGUAAACUGCUUUUAUCAGGGAAGAAACUUCUGGAUUUACUCCGGAGCUGACGGUACCUGAAGAAUAAGCACCGGCUAACUCCGUGCCAGCAGCCGCGGU